rnacentral:rRNA from 1 species
GGAAACCUUGUUACGACUUUUACUUCCUCUAAACGAUCGGGUUCGGUCGUCUUCUCCAGGCAUCGAACGCCGAGGCGCGACCCGCGAACGAGCCACAACCCGACGGCGUCGUCGGCCAGAUCCGAGGACCUCACCGGACCGUUCGAUCGGUAGUAGCGAC